ensembl:misc_RNA 7SK 7SK RNA
AGAGAUUAGGCUGAUCUGGCUGGCUAGGCGGGUGUCCCCUCCUUCCUCAGCACUCCAGGUGUGUUCCUCCCUGAGCGCCUCUGAAGCAUACUCUGCUGAAGAGGACGACUCCCUCCCCCCAUGGAGGAUAAGCAGUCCUCCGUCAAGGGUACGGUACGUGAAUAGCUGCACUCCCUGGUUAGAACCUCCAGACAAGCUCUCAAGGUCCCUUUCAGUCCUAUUGCCCUUUGGCUUCGUAGAGUCUUAUUUGAAUUCCAUCCUCUGCUUGGUCACAAUUUACAAUGUGGCUUUGGGCAAAUAAUU